AUUCCAGCUCCAAUAGCGUAUAUUAAAGUUGUUGCAGUUAAAAAGCUCGUAGUUGAACCUUGGGCUUGGUUGGCCGGUCCGCCUUUUUGGCGAGUACUGGACCCAACCGAGCCUUUCCUUCUGGCUAACCUUUCGCCCUUGUGGUGUUUGGCGAACCAGGACUUUUACUUUGAAAAAAUUAGAGUGUUCAAAGCAGGCCUUUGCUCGAAUAUAUUAGCAUGGAAUAAUAGAAUAGGACGUUAUGGUUCUAUUUUGUUGGUUUCUAGGACCAUCGUAAUGAUUAAUAGGGACGGUCGGGGGCAUCAGUAUUCAGUUGUCAGAGGUGAAAUUCUUGGAUUACCUGAAGACUAACUACUGCGAAAGCAUUUGCCAAGGACGUUUUCAUCA
rnacentral:rRNA from 1 species